AGCUCCAAUAGCGUAUAUUAAAGUUGUUGCAGUUAAAAAGCUCGUAGUUGGAUUUCGGAAUGGGCCAGUUGGUCCGCCGCAAGGUGAGUUACUGACUGGUUUGUUCUUCUUCGCAAAGACUGCGUGUGCUCUUUACUGAGUGUACGUAGGAUUUACGACGUUUACUUUGAAAAAAUUAGAGUGUUCAAAGCAGGCUAUCGCUUGAAUACAUGAGCAUGGAAUAAUGGAAUAGGACUUUGGUCCUAUUUUGUUGGUUUCUAGGACCGAAGUAAUGAUUAAGAGGGACAAUUGGGGGCAUCCGUAUUUCGUUGUCAGAGGUGAAAUUCUUGGAUUUACGAAAGACGAACAACUGCGAAAGCACUUGCCAAGAGUGUUUUCAUUA
rnacentral:rRNA from 1 species